rnacentral:rRNA from 1 species
UACGAAGGGGGCUAGCGUUGCUCGGAAUCACUGGGCGUAAAGCGCACGUAGGCGGAUCUUUAAGUCAGGGGUGAAAUCCCAAGGCUCAACCUUGGAACUGCCUUUGAUACUGGGGAUCUCGAGUCCGGAAGAGGUGAGUGGAACUGCGAGUGUAGAGGUGAAAUUCGUAGAUAUUCGCAAGAACACCAGUGGCGAAGGCGGCUUUCUGGUCUGUAACUGACGCUGAGGCGCGAAAGCGUGGGGAGCAAACAGG